rnacentral:rRNA from 1 species
UACGGAGGGGGCUAGCGUUGUUCGGAAUUACUGGGCGUAAAGCGCGCGUAGGCGGACCUGCAAGUCGGGGGUGAAAGCCCGAGGCUCAACCUCGGAACUGCCUUCGAUACUGCGGGUCUCGAGUCCGGGAGAGGUGAGUGGAAUUCCUAGUGUAGAGGUGAAAUUCGUAGAUAUUAGGAAGAACACCAGUGGCGAAGGCGGCGAUCUGGGAAGAUACUGACGCUGAGGUGCGAAAGCUAGGGGAGCAAACAGG